rnacentral:lncRNA from 1 species
GGAAGAGAGCUGAAUGCCACGAAAUCCCCGCUGUACUGGUUCUAAAAACAGCUGGAUGCCCUGAAAGAUGAAGGUGGACACGGGAGGCAAACAGCCAGAAGGCUUCACCCACAGAUGACAGAUCUUUUCUAGCAUCGAAGAGGACUGAGCUUUUCCAGGGUCCCAUUCUAGCCUCUGGACCUGAGUCUUGGCAGCACUGACUGGUUACCUGCAAGCCACACAGUCAUCCCUUAACCUAUCACUGAAGUCAAAGAGAUGUGAUCUCCCGAUUGAUUGGCUUGGCCAGGUCACAUGCUCACCUCUGAGGUUGAAGUGAGGUGAGGUCUGCAGUUACUGUUUGGUGAGUGGGAAAAAUGAUUAAUUUCCCCCUAGAAAACUUGAAAUUUAUUAAGGUUUAAAAGACUUCAGACAGCAAGCAGGAUCAUAGUCAACUUAGAGCAAAGAGAGCCUACGGAUGGCUGAGGAGUUGUAAAUACAGCACUGACCAGUGGCUCAGACACCUGUCCAAAGGACUCCUCACGGUCCGAGGACUCCCUGAGACAUCAAGGCUCUGUUCCUGCCAGCUGCCAUUGUAACGGUGGCCAUUGUUGAGAAAGCACAAGAUUAACAAGAGCAAAGAUCAAUGUGUUUGUCCUUAUUGUCAGUCAGAUGUCAUGGGGGCCAAUAUUGCCUAAUCACAUAUAGGGAUUGUUGUCAGAGUUUUUACUUAUUUUUAAAUUGUGUGUGUAUGUGUAUGUCUCUGGGUACACUUGUAUAUGUGUGAGUACAGGCACCCACGAAAUCCAGAAAAGGACAUGGGAUACCCUGGAUCUUGAAUUCCAUAAGGGUGUGAGCCAUUGAAUAUGGGUGAUGGGAAAUGACCUCUGGAAGAGCAGUGAGCACUCUUACCCACUGACCAAUCUCUCCAGCCCUGCCUUUAAUUAGUUUUGAUAGACUGUAAGUUUUUGUGUCAUCUUCACCUGCUGUUGACUGUUGUGAACAAGUUGAUGACAUCUUAAGUUGCAGGUUUUAUUAGAAGUCUUAAGGGUCAUCAUUUCCAAAUUUGUUGAUUCUGAUGAUGCUUCUCCAAGUGUCCUUAAUGUUGGAAUAGGAGAGGCCAUUCGGAAAGCCAUAGGUAUCAAAUGGAAAACUUUCUGAGUAGUAGAUUCACCGAAGAGGCCAUAGCAUGGCGGUGUCUUCCUGCUGGAGUCUCUGAGUUAGUCUGACAGACUCAUGGCACUUCUCCCUCUGAGAAGUUUCCAUGAGGUAAGGCCUCAGGAUGUGGCAAUCUCAAAUGACAGACAAAGAGGAACCGUGUUUACAAAUCAGCGGUAUCUGGGGACCAGUGUCAAGUGGAAGAGAGCAGGUCUCACUGUGACUUCCUUCCCAGAAGCCUGGAGUAAAGGCUCUGACAUCAAUGAGAAGGGAAGAGAGGGAUGUCAGCGAUGGCUCCAGUCCCCCAGUGACACUGCCCCUUGUCCACUCUGUUCCAGAGAGAUUCCUGCAACAUUUCUGGAAGCCCCAGUGAGAUCUCCUUCUCCAUGGCCCCAUGGUAGAGACGGGCUGCUGCUCCCUGGUCUCUGAGAACACUAAAGUCUUCUGGAACUGAGAAGCACAAGGGGACUGCGGGACCAAGACCUGGAGUCUCUGGGAAACAUACAUCCUAAACAGGACUUCAGGGUCCUCUCCCAGUGGACAAGGGGACUGCGGGACCAAGACCUGGAGUCUCUGGGAAGCACACAUCCUAAACAGGACUUCAGGGUCCUCUCCCAGUGGACAAGGGGACUGCGGGACCAAGACCUGGAGUCUCUGGGAAGCACACAUCCUAAACAGGACUUCGGGGUCCUCUCCCAGUGGACAAGGGGACUGUGGGACCAAGACCUGGAGUCUCUGAGCGGAAGACCAGAUGAGACUGGGCUGGAUGUCCAGGCCAGGUAAAGACAAAAAAGGGAGAUAGGCAGGAAGAGCCAGCAAUGGCUAGAUCGCCUUGCAGGAUAUUAUAUCUGGAGCCUUGAAGGGAUACUCAGGUAGCACCGGUCCCCAAGGAAAAGGCCUUGAUGAGAUACUCAGGUGGAUUAGUCUUGGAAGAAAUAGACAGACUAAGCAUUUAAAAGGGGGAUGUAUAACUUCUAAGUGAAUGGUGAAUGACUGUGUAGGUGACUGUAAUGCUCCCGCAGCUCCGUGGCUACAGAAUUUGAUUGGGCCUCAACCUCAGAUCGGCUGAAGCCCUUUCAAAUGAACAGGCACUCCCACUCACAAUAGGAGGUGACCAAGUACAAGGUUAUACAUGUGGCUCUAAGGAAAGACCUCUGAAAUUGCCACAUGGUGUCUGGCCAGGCAGAUGCCUGCUUGAGGGAGAAGCUGGUCUCCACCUCACCCUAUUACUACACAGGGUUAGGCACACAUAAACUCCCCCAGUUUCCAGAUAGGGAAUUUUUCUCACCAUGGGAUUUGUAAAAUCCUGAUGUGAAACUCACACAAUCCUGCAAAGACCUUUGUGAUGGUUUGUAUAUCCUUGGACCAGGGAGUGGCACCAUCUGAAGGUGUGGCCUUGUUGGAAUAGGUGUGACCUGGUUGGAAUGGGUGUGUCACUGUGGGUGUGGGUAUAAGAUCCUCACCCUAGUUGCCUGGAAGUCAGUCUUCCACUAGCAGCCUUUGGAUGAAAACAUAGAACUCUCAGCUCCUCCUGCGCCAUGCCUGCCUGGAUGCUGCCAUGCUCCCACCUUGAUGAUAAUGGACUGAACCUCUGAACCUGUAAGCCAGCCCCAAUUAAAUGUUGUUUUUUAUAAGACUUGCCUUGGUCAUGGUGUCUGUUCACAGCAGUAAAACCUUAACUAAGACAACCUUUAAGCACAAAGACUCCAAGGAAGCACCCCCUUAGUGUCCCUGGAGGAUGAAAUCUUGCCCGUGGUGCUGUCUCCCUACCCUACUGGCUCCAGUUGUCAGCGCCACAUGGUGCCAAGGCAGCUGCAAGACUACCUGACCCUGUCCUUUCUACUGCCACUGAGGGAAAUGCCAGGCCCUCCCCUUAUCCAAGAAGGUGACAGCUAUGUUACCUGACCCUAAAUCUGGCCACAUAUUUGCCAGGAGGGAGAGCCCUUCCACGAUUGUGGAGAAACUAUAAAAGUGAUUUUUUUUUCCCUCACAGUCAGAUUUAAAGGUCAAGCUACUUCCCAAUGCAGGUAUGGAACUUUUACCAGUCCUAGUGACCUGAAAUGGAGCCCUAGUACCACAUGGUAGAAGGAAAGAAAAGACCUCUCUGCCUUCCACACAUAGGUAGUGGCACCCCCACACAUUAAACAAAUAAACAGAAAAUAACAUAGCAUGAAGUCUCCCCAUCAGUAUAAGAGAUCAGCUUCCCAGCUUUCAUACCGACUAUCCCCUAUGAAUCCUGCAGCCACCUUGUAUCGUACGACUGUCCCCUAUCCUGCAGCUCCCCUGUGAGUUAGGUAGACAGAUAGCACUUGCCCAGUGUAACAUAGCCAUCUUGGGCUCCCUGCCCAGUGCUGCCUCAGGCGCUGAAAGUCCUGACAGUGAGUCUGUGCUAAGAGGAGUUUCCACUCUUCCUCCCACGGUUGCAUACCGCUUAGGCUUAAACACCAGGCCUAUGUGACGCCAUGGCUUCUCAGUUAACCCAAGUCAUGGAGUGGAAGGCAAUGAAGGGCCUAUGAAUGUGUUUAUGUAAGAGAGAUUUUGCUAAGAUAUUAGCCUAUCCUUGAAUUCUUCAUAGAGCCAGAUGAGCCAGUUUUUUUUUGUUUUUUUGUUUUGUUUUGUUUUUAAUUAUGUAUGAUGUGUGGGUGUGGGUGUGGGUGAGCAUGCACAUGCCUGCAUGUACGUGGGUAGCUCAGAGGUUAAUGUCUGGUGUCUUCCUCAAUGGUUCUAUGUCUUAAUCUUGAUACAAGGUUUCACAACUGAACUUGUGACUUGCUGUUUCAGCAGGACUUGAUGGCCAUAGUAUCUCUGCCUUUUUCCCUGUGCUGGGAUUAUAGUGUUGCUCCUGGCUUUUAUAUGGGUGCUUGGGAUUUGAACCCAGGUCUUCGUGUUUAUGCAGCAAACAGCUUACCCACCAAAGCACCCCUAGCCCAUAAGCCAGCUUCUCUGUUUCAGGAUCUUAUCUGCUCUUCAGCUUUUGUUCACUUCCCACUUCCUGGGGUGAAGUGCAGUCUCUAGGUGAGGACAGCCAAGGCUCCUCUUCACUAUCAGCUUGAUUGGAUGUAGACUGACUGUGGAAGCUCACCUCUGGGGUGUGUCAUCGAGGGUGUGUCUAGAGAGAGUUAACUGGAAAGGGAAGACCCAUCCUGAGUGUGGAUAUGCUGUGCUAUCCCUGGGAAAAGAUCGAGGACAAGAAGACCAUGAGCGAGGCACCAGUGUUCAUCUCUCUCUGCUUGCUGACCAUUGAUAUGUGGUCCACUGCUUCACAGUCCUGCCUCCAUGGCCUCUCCACCCUGAUGAACUUCAGUGUGAAAGCCAAAAUGGAUGUGAAACACCUGUGCCAAGCAUUCCAUCUCAGCAAUGAGAAACACACAAGGUCUCUGUGAACCGUGACAAAAAAUGUUACGAGUUCAUAAAUCAAACCCAGUGUUAUCUUCUCCACACGGUAAGACUUAGGUUAUUGGUUGACCUUCUGUGGACCCCAGAUCCUUCAGUGUUAAGCUGCUAGAUUGUUAAUUAAAAUUGAAAACAUG